GACGAACGCUGGCGGCGUGCCUAAUACAUGCAAGUAGAACGCUGAAGAGAGGAGCUUGCUCUUCUUGGAAGAGUUGCGAACGGGUGAGUAACGCGUAGGUAACCUGCCUUGUAGCGGGGGAUAACUAUUGGAAACGAUAGCUAAUACCGCAUAACAAUGGGUGACCCAUGUCAUUCAUUUGAAAGGGGCAACUGCUCCACUACAAGAUGGACCUGCGUUGUAUUAGCUAGUAGGUGAGGUAACGGCUCACCUAGGCGACGAUACAUAGCCGACCUGAGAGGGUGAUCGGCCACACUGGGACUGAGACACGGCCCAGACUCCUACGGGAGGCAGCAGUAGGGAAUCUUCGGCAAUGGGGGCAACCCUGACCGAGCAACGCCGCGCGAGUGAAGAAGGUUUUCGGAUCGUAAAGCUCUGUUGUAAGUCAAGAACGAGUGUGAGAGUGGAAAGUUCACACUGUGACGGUAGCUUACCAGAAAGGGACGGCUAACUACGUGCCAGCAGCCGCGGUAAUACGUAGGUCCCGAGCGUUGUCCGGAUUUAUUGGGCGUAAAGCGAGUGCAGGCGGUUUGAUAAGUCUGAAGUUAAAGGCUGUGGCUCAACCAUAGUUCGCUUUGGAAACUGUCAAACUUGAGUGCAGAAGGGGAGAGUGGAAUUCCAUGUGUAGCGGUGAAAUGCGUAGAUAUAUGGAGGAACACCGGUGGCGAAAGCGGCUCUCUGGUCUGUAACUGACGCUGAGGCUCGAAAGCGUGGGGAGCGAACAGG
rnacentral:rRNA from 1 species